CGGGACUCAUCCGAGGCCCCGUAAUCGGAAUGAGUAUACUCUAAAUCCUUAUACGAGUAUCAAUUGGAGGGCAAGUCUGGUGCCAGCAGCCGCGGUAAUUCCAGCUCCAAUAGCGUAUAUUAAAGUUGUUGCGGUUAAAAAGCUCGUAGUUGGAUCUGUGUCCCGCGCCGUCGGUUCACCGCCUGUCGGUGUUCAACUGGNNCGUUUGCGGGACGUCCUGCCGGUGGUGGUCCGGUUCCCCGUCGGUUCGUAGGACGCCUUCGGGCUCCGAAGGCCGGUGUGGUGUUUCCGGCCGCCUUUCGAUCCCGUCGCGGUGCUCUUCACCGAGUGUCGAGGCGGGCCGGCACGUUUACUUUGAACAAAUUAGAGUGCUUUAAGCAGGCCCUGUCCCGCCUGUAUAUUCGUGCAUGGAAUAAUGGAAUAGGACCUCGGUUCUAUUUUGUUGGUUUUCGGAAUCUGAGGUAAUGAUCAAUGGGGACAGGCGGGGGCAUUCGUAUUGCGACGUUAGAGGUGAAAUUCUUGGAUCGUCGCAAGACGGACCGAAGCGAAAGCAUUUGCCAAGUAUGUUCUCGUCGAUCAAGAACGAAAGUUAGAGGUUCGAAGGCGAUCAGAUACCGCCCUAGUUCUAACCAUAAACUAUGCCUGCCAGCAAUCCGCCGAAGUUCCUCCGAUGACUCGGCGGGCGGCUUCCGGGAAACCAGAGCUUUUGGGUUCCGGGGGAAGUAUGGUUGCAAAGCUGAAACUUAAAGGAAUUGACGGAGGGGCACCACCAGGAGUGGAGCCUGCGGCUUAAUUUGACUCAACACGGGAAAACUCACCAGGCCCGGACACCGGAAGGAUUGACAGAUUGAGAGCUCUUUCUUGAUUCGGUGGGUGGUGGUGCAUGGCCGUUCUUAGUUGGUGGAGCGAUUUGUCUGGUUAAUUCCGAUAACGAACGAGACUCUAGCCUACUAACUAGGCGUACCCGGUAUCCACAAUCGUGCUACCGGCGAACUUACUUCUUCUUAGAGGGACAGGCGGCUUCUAGCCGCACGAGACUGAGCAAUAACAGGUCUGUGAUGCCCUUAGAUGUCCUGGGCCGCACGCGCGCUACACUGAAGGAAUCAGCGUGUCUUCCCUGUCCGAAAGGACCGGGUAACCCGCUGAACCUCCUUUGUGCUAGGGAUUGGGGCUUGCAAUUGUUCCCCAUGAACGAGGAAUUCCCAGUAAGCGCGAGUCAUAAGCUCGCGUUGAUUACGUCCCUGCCCCUUGUACACACCGCCCGUCGCUACUACCGAUUGAAUGAUUUAGUGAGGUCUUCGGACUGGUGCGCGGUGGCCGUUAUGCGGCACCCGAUGUUGCCGGAAAGAUGACCAAACUUGAUCAUUUAGAGGAAGUAAAA
rnacentral:rRNA from 1 species